GGAAUUGAACUCAGAACCUCUGGAAGAGCAGUCAGUGCUCUUAAACCACUGAGCCACCCUCCAGCCCAAGCCCUUUCUAAGAUUCUGUAAGGUGUGUGUGAAGGGGAGGUGGGGCAGGGUAUUGAGACUUAUUUUUUCAGAAGUCCAUUCUCUUCCAUGGUAUUUAUGAGGAAGGAGCUCUCUUGUUCUACAGCAUAGCAAUGUGAGUUUCUGUUUGAUUCUCCUGUCUCCACUUUCCAUCUCAUUGUAGGAAUGCUGGAAUUACAGACAUGAGACACCACAGCUGGCUUUUAAAACUGGUUCUUGGAAUUCAGAUCAUCUGGCUUGAGCACAGAAAUUACAUCAGCCAGCUCCCUGCUCUGGCCACUGACUGCUGCCAUUUCUUCCUCACCCAUAUGGACUCCUCUACAACCAUAAGCCAAAAUAAACUCUUGAACAUUGA